rnacentral:rRNA from 1 species
GUACCAAAAACCGACGGCCGGUUCUGCCGGUCUCACUCUUGGUGACUCUGAAUAAAGUAGCGGAUCGCACGGCCUUGCGCCGGCGACGGACCAUUCAAGUGUCUGCCCUAUCAGCUUCCGAUGGUAAGUGACCUGCUUACCAUGGCUUUCACGGGUAACGGGGAAUCGGGGUUCGAUUCCGGAGAGGGAGCAUGAGAAACGGCUACCACUUCCAAGGAAGGCAGCAGGCGCGCAAAUUACCCAAUCCCGACACGGGGAGGUAGUGACGAAAAAUAACAAUGCCGCCCUCUGCGAGGGAGGUAAUUGGAAUGAGCACAAUUUACAAACCUUAGCGAGGAUCUAUUGGAGGGCAAGUCUGGUGCCAGCAGCCGCGGUAAUUCCAGCUCCAAUAGCGUAUAUUAAAGUUGUUGCAGUUAAAAAGCUCGUAGUUGGAUCUCAGGAGCGAGAGGCGCGGCUGGGCGCGGCCUUCGCGCAAGCGGGGUCGUCGUUCCGGCCAGCCUGAAUCGUUCCCUCCGCAGGCUCUCCGGUCGUGCUAUUAGCUUAGUGCGGCCGGCAGGUCUGCCGCUUACUUUGAAG